rnacentral:rRNA from 1 species
CCCGAUGAACCUGAAUAUCCGUUAUGGAAAAUUCAUCAUUAAUAUUAUUAUAUUUAAAAAUAUAAUAAAAAUAGUGUGCAAUUUUUCCAUAUAAGGACAUUGUAAUCUGUUAAUGUAUUAAAUAUUUAUCAAAAAAUCUAAAACAUAAGUUUAUUCAAAUUAGUUAUUUUCGAAUUUCUAACAUAGAAUAAUUGUAUUAGAUUCGAUAAAUCAUUGACAGAUUUUACUAUAUAUAAUGCUUAAAUUCUUUUUUGAAUUUUAUAAUUAUAGUAAAAAUUUAUUUUUAUUUAUAAUUAUAUGCAUUUAUAUGAUUAACAAUGCGAUAGAUUCAGGAUACCUUCGGGACCCGUCUUGAAACACGGACCAAGGAGUCUAACAUAUGUGCAAGUCAUUGGGUAUUUUUAAUAAAACCCAAUGGCAUAAUUAACUUAACUGUUUUUUAAUGGGAUUAGUUUAUAUUUUAUUAUGAAAUAAAAAUUCAAUCCCGGGGCGUUCUAUACAGUUAUGCAUAAUGAUAUUUAUAUUAUUUAUGCCUCUAACUAGAGCGUACCUUGAGCAUAUAUGCUGUGACCC